CUGACAGCCCUGAGUACUGAAGUCCCUUAUUUAUCCACAAAACAGGUGCAGCUGAGUCACUGGCAGUACAGCCUUCCUCAGACUGUCCUGACAGUGUGCCCCAGCCUGAACCUGGGGUGAACCACCUUUCUGCAAAAGGUUACUUUAUUUCCUGUGGCCACUUUGCUGAGACUACC
rnacentral:sRNA from 1 species